rnacentral:lncRNA from 7 species
AGUGUCUUGUAGCUGAGCUGUCUUUUGGAGAGAAUGAAAAAUAUUAAAAGGAAUGGAAAAGGCUGGAUUGCUCAAUCGUGAAGCAGCACCAGGUUGAUAUAGGAUGCCACUGCCUAUUACAUUUCCAGGCAGCAUCAGGCUGAGGGUGUGAGCAGGGAGCUGAUCCAGCCAGAAAGUAACCUGAAAAAGAAGUGCUGAGCUCUGUGAACCUUCUUCCUCGGAGAUCAGAUCCAGCUGUUAGUGAGAGCUCCUUCUGCUUGUUUUCUGCACUGUAGUGCAGCUAAUGCCACUGUCAUCAACAUCAUCUGAAGGAAGGAGGUGACGAGCCUCUCCUAGGCUCCAGUCUCCUCCCAGCCCAGCUCUCUGCCAGGCACCUCUCUUUAACCUACUCCUUUGGUGGACAAACAGAAAAUGGGCUCCUGCAUUUCUCAAAGCAGGUCUUUCUUGCUGGAAAGAGACCUGUAUGACCUUUGUUGUGUGUGCAAACCUGUUGUACGUGUUGGUAUCUCUACUUUGGGAGCCAAAGAGACCUUCAUCCUUUUUGAUCUGGCCUUCUCUUACUCAGCAUGAAAAACAGCCACGUGGAGAUAGGAUCCUUGUCCUCUUGUCUUUCUGCUGCAUCAAGAAUUCAUACUGUAGCUACGAUAAUGUGGACUUCCCAACACUGUUGGGCCAUACAGAGAGAGGAGGUUACUGCCAGAGUAAACUGAAAUUGGAGGUGGUUUAUGUUAAUGCUGCAGCCUGCAGACUGCACUUGCUUGGGAGUUUAUCCAGCGGGAUCAGCUGAUCCCACUGCAGGAUGGUGACCUCUGGCAGAGGCACAGGACAGAGACAGCUGCUUCAGCUCUCCCAGCUAAACCUGCUUAAGGCGCUAUGAAGGAAACCUGAAGCAGUCCAAGAAACUGAAGGAGCUGUCUUCUGAAACACCUUCUGAUGCAAGAAAAGAGGCAGGGACUUCAAUUUUAAGAAAUUGCUCUUGGAAAAAGACUUUUACAAGUCAUUUGUUUUUUUAUUAGUAUUCAUGGAGUAUCCGAAAGAGGAGAAAAAUUAGAAGAGAAGCAAAAUUGUGACUCCCCGUAAAGAUGUAAAUAUGGAGCUACUGAGCCAUAGCUGUUCUCUGGGGCAGCAGCUGGCAGCGCUACCUCCCAUCCGUGCCGAGUGGGAUGUGCAGCAGAAGCCAGGGCUGCAAAGCCUUCCACCUGUUUGUGAAAAGUGAGUGCACACGCAACCUGAAGUUACUCAGCGUAUUCGUUUGGUCUUCGGCAGUUGGGUGAUGUUGUUACUGUGACUUUUCUGCUGUCUCAUAUCUCCCGCGACAUGUGCCAGCUGAUACGGGAGCUGUGACAUACCACACCCCCGCGGCUGGGACAUGGCUCACGUGGUCUGGAUUCAUCCAGAGAACUUUAAAGAAACUGAUAAGCUCUAUCUUGUUUAACUUGGCCUUUGGAAGAUGUUUGUGGAAAUUUCUGCAAAGGAGGUGACAUCAGUUGUUGUCACAGCUGCUGUGUAAGUCUGCAAGGCUGCGUCUGUUCAGUAUCUGGCUGGGGUGUGUAUGUGUGUGCCAGUAGAUAUCGAUAAUAGAUUGUGUUUCAAUCAAAAGCUAGCUCAUAUUGAGUAGGUGAGGAGGUUCAAUUGCUCAGAAAUAGGUGCGUUAUCAUCAAAGCUUGAUGUGAUGAUGGAGUGCGUAGAAUUAACAAAGCAGAAAGAGAACCAGCUCUGGAGAGCCGAUACUGCAUUUGAAACAAACCUUCUCCCAGGGGAAUUCCAAGUGUUAGCAUGUGGGACAUGCUCCAGCUGCUUGCUGCUCAGACUUAAAAUAAACCAGGCAAAGUCCCACGUACGAGCCCUACCAACUGGGGCGGGCUGCUGCUGCAAACUUUUCAUCUUUUCCUCCAGUCGGGUAGGAAUGACAAUAAAUAUUUUUGAAGGAGCAUUUUGAAUGCUGAUGUUUUGCACAGCUUUGCUUGUGCUUCUCUGAAGUGACACAUUUCCCAGCGCAGUUAUGAAUUUAACAAAAAAUCUGCUUUGUAAUAUAUCAAAACACUGUUCUGGGAAGACUGGAAUUAAUAAAGAGUUAG